GGGGAAUUUUCCGCAAUGGGCGAAAGCCUGACGGAGCAAUGCCGCGUGGGGGAAGAAGGCCCACGGGUCGUAAACUCCUUUUCUCAGGGAAGAAGCCAUGACGGUACCUGAGGAAUAAGCAUCGGCUAACUCUGUGCCAGCAGCCGCGGUAAUACAGGGGAUGCAAGCGUUAUUCGGAAUGAUUGGGCGUAAAGCGUCUGUAGGUGGCUUCUCAAGUCUGCUGUUAAAGACCAGGGCUUAACCCUGGACCGGCGGUGGAGACUACUAAGCUAGAGUACGGUAGGGGCAGAGGGAAUUUCCGGUGGAGCGGUGAAAUGCGUAGAGAUCGGAAAGAACACCAACAGCGAAGGCACUCUGCUGGGCCGUCACUGACACUGAGAGACGAGAGCUAGGGGAGCGAAUGGGAUUAGAUACCCCUGUAGUC
rnacentral:rRNA from 1 species